CCUACGGGAGACAGCAGUGAGGAAUAUUGGUCAAUGGCCGGAAGGCUGAACCAGCCAUGCCGCGUGAAGGUCAGUGCCCUAUGGGCGUUAAACUUCUUUUGUGCGGGAGCAAUAAUGGUCACGUGUGGCCAGACGAGAGUACCGUACGAAUAAGCAUCGGCUAACUCCGUGCCAGCAGCCGCGGUAAUACGGGGGAUGCAAGCGUUAUCCGGAUUUAUUGGGUUUAAAGGGUGCGUAGGCUGGGAGGUAAGUCAGCGGUGAAAUGCCCCCGCUCAACGGGGUGAAGUGCCAUUGCUACUGCCUGGCUGGAAUGCGGAUGCCGUGGGAGGAAUGUGUGGUGUAGCGGUGAAAUGCAUAGAUAUCACACAGAACACCGAUUGCGAAGGCAUCUCACGAAUCCGCGAUUGACGCUGAUGCACGAAAGCGUGGGUAUCAAACAGGAUUAGAUACCCGAGUAGUC
rnacentral:rRNA from 1 species